rfam:Triticum aestivum genome assembly, contig: Triticum_aestivum_CS42_TGACv1_scaffold_407021_5BL
GUUGCUGUAGUUUAGUGGUGAGAAUUCCACGUUGUGGCCAUGGAGACCUGGGCUUGAAUCCCAGCAGCCACA